CCUGCCUCGUUCAAUGCACAGGUUGAUUCUGCUCUGGAGGAUGAAUCAGGGUUAUGUAGUGAAGGAGACUGUCGUCUGUAGGACCGCUACCUCAUGUGUCGCAGAAGUUGGAAGAUGGGGAACAGAGACACAGAUUGAUGGAUUUGCCCAAGGUCACCCAGGGAGUCAGUGGCAGAGCUUGGAAUUGAACCUCCCCCACCCCAUGUCCUAAGUCCCAUUCUAUUGCCUUAGUCACCAGAUCAUACUUCCUCUGUGCAGCCGCAUGGAAGGAAGCCACCUGUAGGAGGAAAGUUCUGCCCAGAAUGAGUCUGAUACUGACAGCCAGCUGGAGGCUCCAAUCCAGGGUGUGGCUGACUGUGUGUUGGUCUGGAGAGAUUCCCUGUGAGAACCUGAAGCGAAAAGGUCUGUGUAAGGAGGUUUGGGAUUGUUGUAUCAGAGUUGUGGUCCAUGUGGACCCUGAAGUCUCUCAAGAUGAUGAAUCUUGUGAGCUCUAUCCCUAUCAGAUUGUGUGCAUCUCUCUCUGUCCCUCAGGGAAGCCUUUGCUGCCUGGGGAUCUCAUCAGUAGGA